UUGACGGGGCCGCACAAGCGGUGGAGCAUGUGGUUUAAUUCGACGCAACGCGAAGAACCUUACCAGGGCUUGACACUCCCUGACCGCGUAUGAAAGUACGUUUUCACCCUCGGGUGACAGGGAGACAGGUGGUGCAUGGUUGUCGUCAGCUCGUGUCGUGAGAUGUUGGGUUAAGUCCCGCAACGAGCGCAACCCCUACGUUUAGUUGCUAACGCGUGAAGGCGAGCACUCUAGACGAACUGCCGUUGACAAAACGGAGGAAGGUGGGGAUGACGUCAAAUCAUCAUGCCCCUUAUGUUCUGGGCUACACACGUGCUACAAUGGCCGGUACAGACGGACGCAAAGCCGCGAGGUGGAGCAAAUCCUAAAAAGCCGGUCUCAGUUCGGAUUGCAGGCUGCAAUUCGCCUGCAUGAAGUCGGAAUCGCUAGUAAUCGCAGGUCAGCAUACUGCGGUGAAUACGUUCCCGGGCCUU
rnacentral:rRNA from 1 species